CACGUAGGGGGCGAGCGUUGUCCGGAUUUAUUGGGCGUAAAGAGCUCGUAGGCGGUUUGUCGCGUCUGCUGUGAAAUCCCGAGGCUCAACCUCGGGCCUGCAGUGGGUACGGGCAGACUAGAGUGCGGUAGGGGAGAUUGGAAUUCCUGGUGUAGCGGUGGAAUGCGCAGAUAUCAGGAGGAACACCGGUGGCGAAGGCGGGUCUCUGGGCCGAUGACUGACGCUGAGGAGCGAAAGCGUGGGGAGCGAACAGG
rnacentral:rRNA from 1 species